ensembl:snRNA U6 U6 spliceosomal RNA
GUGCUUGCUUUGGCAGCACAUAUACUAAAAUUGAAAUGAUACAGAGAAGAUUAUCAUGGCCCCUGGGAGCAAGGAUGACACCCAAACUCAUGAAGUAUUCCAUAUUUUG